rnacentral:tRNA from 1 species
GCCAGUGUUGCUCAGUGGUUAGAGUAUUUGCCCAAAGGGUCACAGGUUCGAUUCCUGGUCAAGGGCA